UCAGCCGCGUAGGAUAGGAUACAGAAAUACAGCAGAGAAAAUAUCGGUUUACCAGCCACUUGCAGAAAUUCUUAAAGUUACAUAAAGAGACGAUUGUUACGACAAGUCAGAGAUGGCGGACCCGCUUCGAAUCAUCUACGGAUUGCUAUUGUUCAUGUAUCUAAAAAUGGAUCCAGAACACAAAGACUAAGUCUAUGAGGAAAAUAAAGUUUUAGAUCAACAACUAAAAAUUGUCAAGAACAGAUAAAAUAUGAGAUAGAGAUAGAACUGGUAUGAAAGGUGACAGUAGAACAUUGAAAUAAUUUGAAAGAAACAAGUUGGCAAAGAUAUAUAUCACAUGCAUAGGAAGAGCAAUGGAAAAUAACAUUGAAGCAGAAUUAUGAAACAGUUAUUUUAAAAAAACAUUAAAUUGAGAGAGAGAAAAACACAUUUUUUUACUUUUUAAUGCUGUUCAUUCUUAAGAUUACUGUUUAUUGUAUUUCGAUGGAAGUUAUUGCAGUUGAUGAGAAGAUAGAACAAAAAUUUGAGUUCUUCAGCUUGUUUUAUGCAGUCAAUAAAAAUUAAUUUUGAAAAGCAAACCAUAUAUGUUCAAAAAUC